CCUACGGGGGGCAGCAGUGGGGAAUAUUGCACAAUGGGGGAAACCCUGACGCAGCGACGCCGCGUGAGUGAAGAAGUAUUUCGGUACGUAAAGCUCUAUCAGUAGGGAAGAAAAUGACGGUACCUGACUAAGAAGCCCUUGCUAACUACGUGCCAGCAGCCGCGGUAAUACGUAGGGGGCAAGCGUUAUCCGGAUUUACUGGGUGUAAAGGGAGCGUAGACGGCUGCGCAAGUCUGAAGUGAAAUGCCGGGGCUUAACCCCGGAGCUGCUUUGGAAACUGUGCAGCGAGAGUGCAGGAGAGGAAAGUGGAAUUCCAUGUGUAGCGGUGAAAGGCGUAGAUAUUAGGAGGAACACCAGUGGCGAAGGCGACUUACUGGUCUGUAACUGACGUUGAGGCUCGAAAGCGUGGGGAGCAAACAGGAUUAGAUACCCGAGUAGUC
rnacentral:rRNA from 1 species